rnacentral:rRNA from 1 species
CCUACGGGAGGCUGCAGUGGGGAAUAUUGGACAAUGGGGGGAACCCUGAUCCAGCCAUGCCGCGUGUGUGAAGAAGGCCCUCGGGUUGUAAAGCACUUUCAGUGAGGAAGAACGCCUGGUGGUUAAUACCCAUCAGGAAAGACAUCACUCACAGAAGAAGCACCGGCUAACUCCGUGCCAGCAGCCGCGGUAAUACGGAGGGUGCGAGCGUUAAUCGGAAUUACUGGGCGUAAAGCGCGCGUAGGUGGCUUGAUAAGCCGGUUGUGAAAGCCCCGGGCUCAACCUGGGAACGGCAUCCGGAACUGUCAAGCUAGAGUGCAGGAGAGGAAGGUAGAAUUCCCGGGGUAGCGGUGAAAUGCGUAGAGAUCGGGAGGAAUACCAGUGGCGAAGGCGGCCUUCUGGACUGACACUGACACUGAGGUGCGAAAGCGUGGGUAGCAAACAGGAUUAGAUACCCGUGUAGUC